GAAUCACCGUCGACCUAUUUUUACACAAACAAAUUUACUUCUUCUUUUCAAUAAAUUGUAGAUGCUUAUGGAGUUGCCAAGUGCCAGGAGGCAAAUCCCGGUGUAUACACAAUCAUCACCUUUCCGUUCCUUUUCGCUAUCAUGUUUGGUGACUGGGGCCAUGGCAUAUGCAUAUUGCUGGCUUCUUUGUACUUCAUAAUCAGAGAGAAAAAGUAUUCGAGUCAGAAACUUGGAGACAUCAUGCAAAUGGCAUUUGGCGAACGCUAUAUUAUUGUGAUGAUGGCAAUCUUCUCAAUCUACACUGGCUUCAUAUACAAUGAAUUCUUCUCUAUCCCGUUUGCUAUAUUUGCACCAUCUGCCUAUGCAUGCCGUGAUCCAUCAUGCAGGUGGUUGUCAGUACAAUUUAUUGAACUUAUUUUUUUUCUUCUAUGCUAAUUGGUCACAGU